AUUGAACGCUGGCGGCAGGCCUAACACAUGCAAGUCGGGCGGCAGCGGGAAAGUAGCUUGCUACUUUUGCCGGCGAGCGGCGGACGGGUGAGUAAUGCCUGGGGAUCUGCCCAGUCGAGGGGGAUAACUACUGGAAACGGUAGCUAAUACCGCAUACGCCCUACGGGGGAAAGCAGGGGACCUUCGGGCCUUGCGUGAUUGGAUGAACCCAGGUGGGAUUAGCUAGUUGGUGAGGUAAUGGCUCACCAAGGCGACGAUCCCUAGCUGGUCUGAGAGGAUGAUCAGCCACACUGGAACUGAGACACGGUCCAGACUCCUACGGGAGGCAGCAGUGGGGAAUAUUGCACAAUGGGGGAAACCCUGAUGCAGCCAUGCCGCGUGUGUGAAGAAGGCCUUCGGGUUGUAAAGCACUUUCAGCGAGGAGGAAAGGUUGGUAGCUAAUAACUGCCAGCUGUGACGUUACUCGCAGAAGAAGCACCGGCUAACUCCGUGCCAGCCGCCGCGGUAAAAC
rnacentral:rRNA from 1 species